GAUGAACGCUGGCGGCGUGCCUAAUACAUGCAAGUCGAGCGAGCAGACGAGGAGCUUGCUCCUCUGACGUUAGCGGCGGACGGGUGAGUAACACGUGGAUAACCUACCUAUAAGACUGGGAUAACUUCGGGAAACCGGAGCUAAUACCGGAUAAUAUAUUGAACCGCAUGGUUCAAUAGUGAAAGACGGUUUUGCUGUCACUUAUAGAUGGAUCCGCGCCGCAUUAGCUAGUUGGUAAGGUAACGGCUUACCAAGGCAACGAUGCGUAGCCGACCUGAGAGGGUGAUCGGCCACACUGGAACUGAGACACGGUCCAGACUCCUACGGGAGGCAGCAGUAGGGAAUCUUCCGCAAUGGGCGAAAGCCUGACGGAGCAACGCCGCGUGAGUGAUGAAGGUCUUCGGAUCGUAAAACUCUGUUAUUAGGGAAGAACAAGUGUGUAAGUAACUAUGCACGUCUUGACGGUACCUAAUCAGAAAGCCACGGCUAACUACGUG
rnacentral:rRNA from 1 species